ACCCUCAGUCAUAAACCCGCCGACAUAUUCCCAAAGGUCACAUGCCACUUGCAAUUGAACCCCUGGCACAAUGAGAUCUCGUCACCUCAGGACUAUACCAGUUCAAUGAUAAACCUGACAAUUACCGUGCAUGGUACUCCACAUUCACCAACGCUAUCGAUGGAAUCCAGCUCAAAGCAACCCAAGAGUUGGAUCUUAUGGCGAAAUGGCUGGGAAAAGAAUCAUGUGAACAGGCAUUUGCAAUGGAACAAAGAAAUACAAUAGAAUAAAUGGAAAACUGCACCUAAGUAUUGACAAUCAAUUGAUGUGCAAAAGAAAACAGUCUGUGAAACUACAAAAAAAUUCUACAACUGGGGACAAUCUGCAUGGACAAUUAACCCACAUUUUUUUGGGACAUGGAAGGAAAAUGCAGCACCUGGACUAACUCACUCAGUCACUGGAAGAACGUGCAAACUCUACAUAGACAGCACCCAAGGUCAGGAUUGAACCUGUAUCGCUGGAGUUGUGAGACAGCAUCUGUAUUUGCUAUUCCACUGGGCUGCCUAUUGUGAUAAAUCUGAACAUCAUGCAGUCAUUGCUCUUCAAGCAAGAUGAUCAUCUUUGAUACACUUAACCUUGCCUAUUGUAAUGAAACAAUAGAAUGGAAUGCUUUGAUGGGCGGUUUCAGAGGCCAGUCAGAAUCAGCUACGUUACAGGCCAGAGGGGGUGAUACUGGAAUCAGAAUCAGAAUCAAGUUUAUUAUCGCUGCCUUAUUUGUCAGGAAAUUUGGUGCUUUUCAGCAGCAGUACAGUGCAAAAACAUAAAAUUACUAUAAAUUACAAAAUUGGUACCAUAAUUGAUACUGCUGUGUUACUACAGGUUUAGUUAAAAACUUUCAGUUGUAGAUAUGGGCAUAGAAAUAGCAGAUGGAGUUUAGCCCAGAAAAUUGUGAGGUGUUCCACCAUGAUAGGGCAAUGCGAGGAGACAGCACACUGUUAAGGGCAAAAUCCGUAACAGUGUUGCUGAGCAGAGAGAUCUUGGGAUCCAAGUUUACAGCUCCUUGAAAGUGGCUACACAGGUCGAUAAGGUGGUUAAGAAAGUUAAUGGAAUGCUUGCUUUUAUUUGUCCAGGCAUUGAUUUCAAAAGGCAAGGGUUAUGUUGCAACUUUAUAAGAUUCUGGUUAGGACACAUCUGGGGUAUUGCAUACAGUUGUGGUUGCCCAAGGCUUUGGAGGGGGUGCAGAAGAGGUUUACCAGGAUGCCGCCUGGACUAGAGGGUGUGUGCUAUCAUCAGAGGAUGGAUAAACUUGGGCUGUUUUCUCUGGAGCGCCGGAGUCCGAGGGGAGAUGGGAUAGAGGUUUACAAGAUUAUAAGAGACAAAGAGAGAGUGGACAGAGGGUAUCUGUUUUCCAGGGUUGAAAUGUCUCAUAAAAAGGGCAUGCUUUGAAAGUGAGAGGGGUAGGUUCAAGGGGGAUGUGGGGGGUAAGUAUUUUACUCAGAGAAUCGAGGAUGCCUGGAAUGCGCUGCCUGGUAUGG